GACGAACGCUGGCGGCGUGCCUAAUACAUGCAAGUAGGACGCAGUUGCGAACGGGUGAGUAACGCGUAGGUAACUACCUAUUAGAGGGGGAUAACUAUUGGAAACGAUAGCUAAUACCGCAUACUAGUAGAUGGACCUGCGUUGUAUUAGCUAGUAGGUAGGGUAAUGGCCUACCUAGGCAACGAUACAUAGCCGACCUGGGAGGGUGAGAGGCCAAACUGGUAGUGAGACAGGGCCCGGACUCCUAGGGGAGGAAGCAGGAGGGAAUCUUGGGCAAUGGGGGGAACCCUGACCGAGCAACGCCGCGGGAGUGAGGAAGGUUUUCGGAUCGUAAAGCGCUGUUGUUAAGGAAGCGGUACUUAACCAGAAAGGGACGGAUAACUACGUGCCAGCCGCCGCGGUAAUAC
rnacentral:rRNA from 1 species